UGUUCCUUCUGUUUAUAACUUGAGUUAUAAUGACCUUAAAAUAUAUUCAUUUUUCACUUCAGUAUGAUUCAUAGGACUGCCUUUUAUGGUCUUAGACAAAAAAACUAAAGAGUUUGGUUGUGCUGUUGUUUUUCUCUAGAAAUACGGAGGUUCCAGAUGCAAUGGAGAUGAUAUUUCAAUCUGCCCUAGCUUUGGGUAGAAAGGGAGUUGUAAGUGUUCUUAUCUUGGUCUAUCCUGGUGUUUUUGUUGAAUCGAAUUCGAACAUAAACAAAGUGACUUUAUUAUAGAAUUUUAGGACAGAAGAAAUCACAUAGUGAUUAGUUUGUACACUUGAAUCAAGUUAAACUUUCUCAGCAUCUCACCCAAAGAAGUAGUGAACGAGAGCACAACUUUCUAGUCCUCUAGCUCUCAUGCUUCAAGUGCCUGAUAGUUGCAGCCACCCGAGUUUCUCUCAAAUCUUCCAGUCGUUCCCUCUUUUAUCUUCUAAAUGUAUUCCUAAACAAUAAUCUCUCAUUCACUGGUGUGUAAUUAUACUCCAGUAAAUGACAGUAGAUGCCUGAUUCAGCGACUUUUUGCCACAGAAAAAUCCAAAUGGAGGAUAUAUACUUGUCUAAUUCUUCUGUUUUUAAACUAAAUAAGGGCAUCAGUCUGACUUGUCUAGUGCACAUACUCGUUUUGAUUCACUCUAUUACUUCUGGUACUGUCAAAAUUUUCAGCAUUGCUCACAGAAUAGUAUAUCAAACACCCAGGAGUUCACAUGUUUUCUUCCUUCCUUUGUUUACAGUAUCACUCUUUAUGGUGUUCUCUUCAUCUUAUUGACAAUUCAGCAGUCCUGUUUGUUUGAAGCUCUUCUAGUUCAACAAAUUUUUGUCUGCUCUACUAAAGGUACAUGCGUUUGUUGCUCCCAAAGUUAUAGAUGGGAAAAAUACACCCUCUCCAGUUAGGGAACUUGGAACGGGAGAGAUAACCCAGGCUCUGGAACUAAUUGAUGUUUGCUAUGAGCAGGUUUGAUAGACUUCUUCUUAAAUUUUUCUGAUUAUGUGCAUAGUAGAUGCAUGUUUCGCUGUUACUUAUCCUCAAC
rnacentral:lncRNA from 1 species